GUUUUUCACACCAUCCUGAGCCAUGCAAAAGAAGAUUCUUGUCACCACACCCAUGACCACAGCCGAAUCAGAAAGGUGCUUUUCUACUUUAAAGAGGAUUAAGACUUUCCUUGAGGAACACCAUGACACAGGAUGGGCUAGGAUUGUCCCAGGGGGCCACAACCAGCAGCCGGCAGAGCCCUGGGAGAUAUCAGCAAGCCCACAUGCCUGCCCGCAGCCUCCCACCCCCAAGCCGGCUAAGCCUGGAACCCAGCGACCCAAGACCAAGGUAUGACCAGCCCCGCCGGGGACCAAGCAGAGCCCAGAGACCCAGAUCCCACCAGGCAGCUACUGGGAUUUAUCAGGCAGACACCAAAAAUCUUAACCCCCUGACCCACGAGCCGCGAAAAUUCAGGCAGACCAAGGCACCACACUCCACACCAAGUGUGGCAGAGGGAGGGGACGCGAAGAUGUAUAUCAUCAAAAGAAGUCCCAGGAGAGAGCAGGAGUCAAAAGUCCCACUUUACACAUACAGUAAUACACAGACGCAGUCACACACUCCCUUCCUCAUGCUCAGACAUACAUACAACCUAAGACUUACAAAAAUGCACACCAUACACUCACUCAUGCUCCCCAUACACACCCUAUUUACUCUGGUCCUGGUACUGAUGCACAAAGGGUACAACCAUCACCGGUUCACAGAGUUUGACCCUUUCUGCUGGGGUGCUGAUGAGCAGGCUCCCCCGCCCAAUGCUGAGCAAAGCAGCCUACCACCCCAGACCCCAACCAGAUGGCCAAAUCUCCCUCCUAGCCUCCAGCCCCGGGAGCCAAGCGACAGAGGUGUGCUAAGACCCCUAGUCUCCCUCCGUCUGCUCCAAUACAGUGUUGAUGCGUGUUGAUGAGGUGUAUUCCAUGGCUGUGGUGAGCGGGCAGUGCAGGAGUUGUCUGGCCUACACCAGCUGAUGCCACCACACCACCCCACUUACACCCACAGCCCGCUGUGUCUAAGUGCCAUUUUAAAUUGGAAGUGGGCACCGGCACUCAGGAUGAGGCUGAAAAAUCCCCUUGCCAAAUGCCUUUGAAUGUGCUCACUCCAAAGGCCCUAAUUGUGUGUUUGAGUGUAAUGUUGUUGGUGGAAGUGUUUAAUGUGCAAAUAAAAUUGGGGGGCAAGUUGCCUCAGGAAUGCAGAAAUGGGGUUCAUUCCCACACCCCUGACUUGUUCAUCCCCCAAGGUCCUAUGUGCAUGUUUGCCUGAUGAUGUGAGGGAGCAGGAGGAGAAAAAUGUGUGGGGAUGGGGAGCAAUGGCAGGUUGGCCUAAGCCCUCCACGGGGCCAGCUUCCCCACUGGCCCCAAAAGGCACUUCUGUUGCCAAAAUGCCACCCAGGGCAUGGAGACCCCAGCCCAUCUUACCAGGGCCCAAAGCAGUAGCAUCGCGGAGCCCCACAGAGUCUGAGGUCACCAAUCCAGCCCCGCCCCAGCAGAAUAUCUACAGGGCUGCCAGCUUUUAAACAUUUCAAAGAGAAAGACGGGGUCACGGGGAUGGGAGCGGACAAUUCGCUGACUGUUUAC
ensembl:lncRNA